UCACAGAGCAACAGAUGUGGCCCACACCCAUUCGAGGGAAAGAGAAAAAAACACAUUACGCAUGGGUCUCCAACUUAACACCACUGUCAACUUAACAGCAAAGCAGUUGCACAAAUUCAUCCAGGAAAGGGAGUGAACGGAAAACGUAUUGUUUGACUUGGAAUGGCACUGACUGACAUCAUCAUGAAGGCAUCAACCACAGCAGGUCCGGCAAUAACCAUGACAUCGCCAGAAGCCUUCGAACAAGGAAUCAUUGAGGACGUCACCCGUCUGGUCACACAGAAUUUCACAGAACACUUCACACAACCCUUCAGAGCUGGAGUUCUGACAACAACUUCUGCAGAUAUGACUGAAACAAACUCAGCCGCUUUUUUAGUGGGAGCCGCCCACGUAGAGGAUGGAUCCUUUGAAGCCAUUUUCGGAGACAACCCCGGACUUCCCCUCUCUGCCUCAAAGAGAAGUAAACACAAACUACGUGUAGCAAAUUAAACGAUGCCAAAUCGCAACCUUCGGCAGCCAUUUUGAUUGGCGAUGGUUCAUGCUCCGUGGUCAAUGUGGUCGGUCA
ensembl:lncRNA